AUUGAACGCUGGCGGCAGGCCUAACACAUGCAAGUCGAACGAGCGGCGGACGGGUGAGUAAUUUCUGGGAAACUGCCCGAUAGAGGGGGAUAACUACUGGAAACGGUAGCUAAUACCGCAUACUAUCAGAUGUGCCCAGAUGGGAUUAGCUAGUUGGUGGGGUAAAGGCUCACCAAGGCGGCGAUACCUAGCUGGUCUGAGAGGAUGACCAGCGACACUGGGACUGAUAAACGUGCCAGACUCCUGCGGGAUGCAGCAGUGGGGAAUAUUGCACAAUGGGCGCAAGCCUGAUGCAGCCAUGCCGCGUGUAUGAAGAAGGCCUUAGGGUUGGAAAGUACUUUAAGCGGGGAGGCGUUACCCGCAGAAGAAGCACCGGCUAACUCCGUACCAGCAGCCGCGGUAAUUC
rnacentral:rRNA from 1 species